UACAGAGGGUGCAAGCGUUGUUCGGAAUUAUUGGGCGUAAAGCGCGUGUAGGCGGCUUUGCAAGUCGGGUGUGAAAGCCCUCAGCUCAACUGAGGAAGUGCGCCCCGAAACUGCAAAGCUUGAGUGCCGGAGAGGGUGGCGGAAUUCCCCAAGUAGAGGUGAAAUUCGUAGAUAUGGGGAGGAACACCGGUGGCGAAGGCGGCCACCUGGACGGUAACUGGACGCUGAGACGCGAAAGCGUGGGGAGCAAACAGG
rnacentral:rRNA from 1 species